CCUACGGGGUGCUGCAGUGGGGAAUAUUGGACAAUGGGCGAAAGCCUGAUCCAGCCAUGCCGCGUGUGUGAAGAAGGCCUUCGGGUUGUAAAGCACUUUCAGUGGGGAAGAAAGCCUUGGGGCUAAUACCCUCGAGGAAGGACAUCACCCACAGAAGAAGCACCGGCUAACUCCGUGCCAGCAGCCGCGGUAAUACGGAGGGUGCGAGCGUUAAUCGGAAUUACUGGGCGUAAAGCGCGCGUAGGCGGUCUGAUAAGCAGGUUGUGAAAGCCCCGGGCUCAACCUGGGAACGGCAUCCGGAACUGUCAGGCUAGAGUGCAGGAGAGGAAGGUAGAAUUCACGGUGUAGCGGUGAAAUGCGUAGAGAUCGGGAGGAAUACCAGUGGCGAAGGCGGCCUUCUGGACUGACACUGACGCUGAGGUGCGAAAGCGUGGGUAGCAAACAGGAUUAGAUACCCGAGUAGUC
rnacentral:rRNA from 1 species